UCAGGGAACGGGCAACUGCCGGAGAAGGUCUUGGUCUUCUCCUGGCCAAUUGACAGGAACUUUAUUCCGCGUGGCUGGUCUUCAUUUUUCUCUCUAUUUUUGCGCGAUCCGAACCGGAAACCCCUCCAGCUGUAGCUCGAGGGUAGCGACGUUCGGAUUAAAAGAGAUCCACGUUGUUGGUGAGGCCGGCAAAGGCUCGUAGAGGUACCAGAGAAGCCGACGUAGUGGGAGUCGAGUCGACUGGUGUACGUUUUCUCGAAACGUUCGCACGGAGAAGGAGGGAGAUCCUCGCAAGUAGAUUCUUGCCGGGGCCAGUUGCGAGCCGACUAGCAGCUGAAUCACAUCAGAGGCUAAGACACAUCAGGACCGACCUGCUAAAUUUUUUCCCCUCUAUAAAUCGCCCGAAGGUAAAAAAGUCCGGCCGGCACCAUGGACGCGAUCAAAAAGAAGAUGCAGGGAAUGAAGCUGGAGAAGGACAAUGCGAUGGACCGCGCAUUGCUCUGCGAGCAGCAGGCCAGAGAUGCUAACGCCAGAGCUGAGAAGGCCGAGGAGGAGGCGCGUGCCCUGCAGAAGAAAAUCCAGACCAUCGAGAACGAGCUCGACCAGACCCAGGAGGCCCUGAUGCAAGUCAACGCCAAGCUCGAGGAGAAGGACAAAGCCUUGCAGAAUGCCGAGUCCGAGGUGGCGGCUCUCAACCGACGCAUCCAACUCCUGGAGGAAGACCUCGAGAGGUCGGAGGAACGACUCGCCACUGCCACUGCCAAACUGGCAGAGGCCUCACAAGCCGCAGAUGAGAGCGAACGGAUACGGAAGGCACUCGAGAACCGAACCAACAUGGAGGACGACCGCGUCUCCCUGCUGGAACAGCAGCUCGCACAGGCUAAGCUAAUCGCCGAGGAGGCCGACAAGAAGUACGAGGAGGUCGCCAGGAAGCUGGUCAUGAUGGAGCAGGAUCUUGAGCGCGCCGAGGAAAAGACCGAACUCUCCGAGGCUAAGAUCGUCGAGCUGGAAGAGGAACUGCGAGUCGUCGGCAACAACCUGAAGUCCCUCGAGGUGUCCGAGGAGAAGGCGAUAGAAAGGGAGGAGACGUUCAAGGGCCAGGUGAAGAUCCUGGAGUGCCAAUUGAAGGAGGCUGAAGCGCGCGCCGAGUUUGCCGAGAGGUCGGUGCAAAAGUUACAGAAGGAAGUGGACAGACUCGAGGACGACCUCGUCAGCGAGAGAGAGAAAAACAAAAUGCUCCAGGAGGAGAUGGAGGCUACUCUGCAUGACAUCCAGAACAUGUAGAGCGUGCUGCGGAGCGGAUUACACACAUAACCCCACUUUCGGCUGCGCGCGCGCCCUCUCUCGCUCGCCCCGUCUCACUCUCUCUCUUUCUCUCUCUCAUUUUCUUCCCUCCACUCCAUCUAUCCGCCUCUGUCUCUCUUUCUCUCUCUCUCUCAUACUCUCGCACGGUGCAGACCUAACCCUAAUGGACGGACGCAGCCUCCGAGCCGAGGCCGCCACAUCGCCGAUUCAUCGGCCGAUUGCGCGGAAACGAGCGAACGAAAUUACGAAUCGAAGUCCUGGGGAGGAAGGAGAGACGUGAACCUUCGUCCCGACGCCAGCUCGACCCCCGGAAAUGGCCGAGGUCGGGUUGGCGAGGGCGCGAAGUACGAGGAGAAGGACGCGCGGCGUCGAAAUUCUCGGAACGCGCGUGCGUGGAGCGCCGCUGCUGCCGUUGCUGCUGCUGUUGCUGUUAACGUUCCGCCGACACGUUCUGCAUACCUCGGCGGCCCCGAUCCGGACGAGACGCCGCGGAUGUUGUACUCUUUCUCGUCGGUCUCGCCGAUCUAUGCUCGUGGAUUCAUCCUAGAGGAUGCGCGCGCACGCGGGAGGUGUCCACCUGCCGCCCGAUCUUCCGGUGUACUCCGCGAGUUUCACGCGUUCCGCGGUCCCUCGAGCCGCGCCGUGGAAGUGCAUUUAUCCCUUUCGUACGGUGCCACCGCGUACGCACGAGAAUCAAUUUUAAUCUCCGCGUUUUCGCGAUGGAUUUUCAUUUUACCCCCCGGAGUUUGCGUUCGGUGAGGAUCGAGCUUCCGAUAUAUCGAGGCGCGUGCAGACCUGCGACCUCGCCACCCAACAUGGCGGCGGUUUCUGGACGUCGUCGCAUCGCGUACAAUUUAAGAGAUUCGCGGAAACGCAUUCGGACAUCAAUGCCGCCGUCCCUCGGAAUAUUCACCUUGCCGUGUAUCGCGACGAAACGGUUAUCUCGAAUGCGACUUUUUGCGAGUUAUCGGGCAUUAAUUCAGAACACCAUCCACCGAUAUUGGGUCGCGUUAUUUGGCGCGCCGCCGCCAUCUUGCGCGGAGAGGUUGCAGGUCUUCUGGACGCACGUUUAUAGGUACAGUGCACGGUAAAGGUAUUCUCUUAUCACGAUAUCGCGGGUCGUGGAAAAUUCGUCAUUAGACGCGUGUGAUAUAGACCUUGGAUCGCAUACAUUCCUUCUCUAUUCCUUAAUUAUACAGGGGCUAGCAAAUUGGAAAGGUGGGAAGGCUCGAUCGGCACUCUUUCGUAUCGUUCUUAUCACGAGAGGAGAGGGGGGACCCCCCUCAGCAGGAGGGGCGUUAUCGCGCGGGGUUAUCGCGAUUAUCCCUCGUUAUCCACGUUAUCAAGGGGAGGGGGGUCGCUCUCGCAAAUUCCUCAUUUUCUCAUCCCAGUUGAGCUGCGCGCUUUUCAGACACGCGAUAAUCACGAACACACACCGACUGUGCCUGUAUAUACAUAUAUUAGGUACCCCAUACGGAUAAUUAUCAUGGCUAAUCGUACCUCGAUUCGAGGAGAACGUGCUCAGAUCGGUUAACUUCGCGGAAUAUCUCAUGCGAUCUAGAAUACAUACAUUGCAUACAUACGCGUGUACACAUAUGCCUAAUUAGGAGUAUACGGUUUAUAUAUAUAUAUAUACAUUCCCUGCGCACAUCGCUGGCUGCACAAAAUUCAUAAUCCCCCUCCCUCUCCGAAACGUUGCAUUUCCUUAACGAGAGCAACCACUGCCCCGAAAUUCCAAUCUCUUCUUUCUUUUUUUUUUCCCUUUUUUUACCUUUUCUUUUAUUAAUCCCCCCCUCUCUCUUUUUCUCGCGUCGCGUAAACUGGCCUUUCACGAUUAAUUUCCUUCUUUUCUUUGUUUUUCCAUUUUGGUUUUUUUUUCCUGGUCUUUUCGGUUUUUUUCGCAAUAAAUGUCCUGGCCGGGGUUUGACGCGCCGCAGAGUUCGCGAAUCCGCGACGCGUCAAUCUUCGGGCGGAAUGUUGAAAAGUGUACUUUCUUUUUUUUUUCUUCCCCCUUUUUUCCUGGGCAUGAAGGAAAGGAGGGAUCACAGGUGCAUGAGAGUGCGUCGAUCGUUAGGCGUGGCGGCUCCCUUGUGGCGAUUUUUCCAGGGGGGAGUGGAAAGGUAGAUAAUUUUCGAGGAGGGAUUUUUUUUUUCCGCCGUGAUGAGGCGAAAAUUCGCGCGUCGCGUCGAGCGAUGAUCCGCGCUUAGGAAGAAAGUCGCGCUCGGUGUUUAAUGGAAUUAAGCCCAAGGAAAGAGAAAAAAAAAGAAAAAAAAAAGAAUAUCCCGACAUGGGCUCAUCGGCACAAUGCAAUCCCACGUCCUAUUAAUUUUAAUUAAUAUUACUAUUAUCGCUCCAAUUAUCCGUUGUAUCGUUUCGAUUAUCUCCUAUCCUCAGUUCUCUACACGUUACGCCCUAAUUUUUACGCCGGAAAGAGAUAUGAAAGAAAGGAUAAAAAAAGAAAACCCACGAUAAGCAAAAGACGUUCGAGACGGAAAUUUUGAUUUAUCACCUUAGCCCAUUAAUUUACUUAAUAUUAAUCGAGAGAGAAACGAUAAUAACACUAAUAUUAUUGUAUUAAUUAUACACCAACAUUGCUAUUAUUAUAAAUUUGUUUAUAAUAUAUAUUUUAAUUUUCAAUGCGAUUAUGCGUGCGUCGUCCAUUUUUUUUUUCCGUUCGUCUCGUUUUCGACCGAGUCGAGAGAGUCACUUUUUGUGCGCCCGGAGAGUUGUUUCCUGUUAAUCGUUUUUACCACGAGAGCCCAUUAACAACACGCUCUGCCCGAUUGUUGUCGACGAGAGUCGUGGUUAACUGCAUGAAGCUCCGCCGAAAUGUGUGAAAUUACCCAGCCGCCAGUAAGUACAACAUUGCUCGAUUAUUGUCUACUAACUAUCAAAAACCCCAGACUAUCGGGGUUUUCGGGUCCCCUUUCCCCUGGAGAUUUUUAUGUUAAUUUUCUAAAUUUCUCCCCCAUGCCUCUACGGUGUCGAUUGUCCUCAUUUCAUUUCUCCUGUAUUUUUAGUCUUCGUACCAGUAAUUUAGACGUACCACUUUUGCAGAAAUUAAUUUUCCUUUUAAAUUAUGUAAAAAUCCCAUUUAUUUUCCUUCCGUUUGUUUAUUUUGACUGUUCGCAUUAGUUUUGUAAUUUUCUUCUUCAAUUUCUUUGGUACGCAUUCUUUCUUUUUUUUUCUUUUUUUUUUUUCUGCGAAUAAAAUUGCGAGCGCGUAAUUAUCAAUAAGUCUUUUGUACUCUUGGGGAAUCCCCGCUUCGAUGUAAUGCGGUAAUCUCGAAAAAUCCUUGCAGAUGAGAUGGUGGCCGAGAAGGAGAAGUACAAGGAAAUCGGCGAUGGCUUGGAUAAUGCAUUCUUUGAGCUCUAUGGGGUCUAGAGUGCCUAGCUCCUGAUAACGCUUCGACGUGCCUUUAUUGCGUUUAGCUUGCUCUCUCUAACCAACUUCCACGAGCUGGUCCACGAGAAGGAGAAGUACAAGUACAUCUGCGACGACCUGGACCUCACCUUCACCGAGCUGGUCGGCUAAAGAAUGUCUUUCCAUCGUCGCCGGAUAUGAUAAUCACGGGAUUCGCCUCGCCGAGCGAUAACGCGGACCGCACAAUCACGUUCGGGCCCAACCUACGGAUUAAAUAUACCUGUAUCAUUGUAAUUAAAGCGAGAUUAUUAUAAAUAAGCAUGUGGAACACUGGA
rnacentral:misc_RNA from 1 species